rnacentral:rRNA from 2 species
GGAUGCGAUCAUACCAGCACUAAAGCACCGGAUCCCAUCAGAACUCCGAAGUUAAGCGUGCUUGGGCGAGAGUAGUACUAGGAUGGGUGACUGUCACACCCUAGCUAGUCAUGCAUCAG